rnacentral:lncRNA from 1 species
AUGAACUUACAGUCUCUGGAAGAAUGUGUAUUAAAAGGUUGCUUAAACUUUCUCUGUGAUAUCAAAGGUCUCAAGCCUGCCUUUGAUGAGUAUUGGAUGGAAAUCACCUCACAUCUGGGUUGUGCUCAGAGUGGCUCAUGGACUUCAGACAAAGAGUCAGUGCACCCGCGGGAGAAUCUAAACUCCAAGAUGAGAAAGAUGCCUGUUGGCUCAGAGCACAGUACCUGAGAUUCAUGAGCAGAACGUGAGCAGCCAUAAAGGAAUCAAUCAAUUUAUAUCUUCCUUGGACAGAUAAUCAUAGUCAAAAUGCUGUGAAAAUAAAAAGGACAUUCCAUUCCCUGUAGAAAGUCUUAUUUGAGGAAGAUUCCAUUGGAUAGGAAAAAGGGAGUCCAUUAAAAGUCACAUGAGUCAAUUGGGGAGAAAUUAAGUUUUAGCUUAACAAAAUUUUGUGGGGAAUGAAAAUAAUCAAUAGAUUGUACUUUUUCAGUUAUAAGUAGAAAUUAUGUUUACUUCUUUAGAAGGGAAAACCAAAUGAAUAUCUGAUACUUGGAAGCAGCAGUAACUUUCCAUUCUUUUUUCUGUCUCUCACUACUCUCCAUGGGAGACUGAUCUGAAUGAUGUGACUGAAAUCUCUGUGUGUGCUGGCUUAGCAUGAUCCCCUCACUCCCCAGACUUGACUGCUGGCAGCCUAGAUGCUAAAAGCCAACUGGGCCAACCUCUGCCCCUGCAGGGGUAGCCUGCUGUUAUCAAGAUGUUCUAUCACCAAGGAGUUAAGUUUGAUUCAUGUGCAAAUAAAUAGGAAAGUAUUUUGCCCUCAUGGGUGAAACUGUGCUCUUCAAUAAUAAAGCAGAUUUUCUUUAUACUU